AAGUCGUAACAAGGUUUCCGUAGGUGAACCUGCGGAAGGAUCAUUAACACGUAUCCACGUAUCAACAUCGCGAACCCGUAGCCGCAAGGUUACAGCGGAUAAUCGUGUCUUAGCGCCAAGUCUCUGGUUCAGGUGGCAUCAGACUUUCGCGCGUGGUGUUCUCCUUCAGGAAGCAUCAGAGGCACUUUUAUGCGUCACCCAUUUUUAACCACAAACCAAUUUUUUUCUGUGAUCAUUGUACUGAUAUACCAGGUUGUGUCGCGCCCUGCUGGCAACGGCUUGGCGUGUCACCGCUCGGACAAUACGUAAUUUUGAACAACUCUUAACAACGGAUAUCUUGGCUCUC
rnacentral:misc_RNA from 1 species